UAGGGAAUCUUCCGCAAUGGACGAAAGUCUGACGGAGCAACGCCGCGUGAGUGAUGAAGGCUUUCGGGUCGUAAAACUCUGUUGUUAGGGAAGAACAAGUGCUAGUUGAAUAAGCUGGCACCUUGACGGUACCUAACCAGGAAGCCACGGCUAACUACGUG
rnacentral:rRNA from 1 species